UAGGGAAUCUUCGGCAAUGGGGGCAACCCUGACCGAGCAACGCCGCGUGAGUGAAGAAGGUUUUCGGAUCGUAAAGCUCUGUUGUAAGUCAAGAACGGGUGUGAGAGUGGAAAGUUCACACUGUGACGGUAGCUUACCAGAAAGGGACGGCUAACUACGUGCCAGCAGCCGCGGUAAUACGUAGGUCCCGAGCGUUGUCCGGAUUUAUUGGGCGUAAAGCGAGCGCAGGCGGUUUGAUAAGUCUGAAGUUAAAGGCUGUGGCUCAACCAUAGUUCGCUUUGGAAACUGUCAAACUUGAGUGCAGAAGGGGAGAGUGGAAUUCCAUGUGUAGCGGUGAAAUGCGUAGAUAUAUGGAGGAACACCGGUGGCGAAAGCGGCUCUCUGGUCUGUAACUGACGCUGAGGCUCGAAAGCGUGGGGAGCGAACAGGAUUAGAUACCCUGGUAGUCCACGCCGUAAACGAUGAGUGCUAGGUGUUGGAUCCUUUUCCGGGAUUCAGUGCCGCAGCUAACGCAUUAAGCACUCCG
rnacentral:rRNA from 1 species